rnacentral:rRNA from 1 species
UACGUAGGGGGCAAGCGUUGUCCGGAUUUAUUGGGCGUAAAGAGCGUGUAGGCGGCCAUGUAGGUCCGUUGUGAAAACUCGAGGCUCAACCUCGAGACGCCGAUGGAAACCAUGUGGCUAGAGUCCGGAAGAGGAGAGUGGAAUUCCUGGUGUAGCGGUGAAAUGCGCAGAUAUUGGGAAGAACACCGGUGGCGAAGGCGGCGACCUGGUCCAUUACUGACGCUGAGGCGCGACAGCGUGGGGAGCAAACAGG